GCAGUGGUGGUUCAGUGGUAGAAUUUUCACCUUCCAUGUGGGAGUCACAGGUUCGAUUCCUGGCCAAUGCA
rnacentral:tRNA from 1 species